CUUUUUUCAGUGCAUGGAAGAAGUGGAGAAGGUGAAAUGCUUUCUGGAGGAAAAUUCAAGUAAUCUGGAUCUGCAGUCUGGAGACAAUGAGGCUGAGGAAAAUGUAUGGUCCAACCACACACUAAACGAAAGGACAAUUGUCAGAGGAGGAAGGACAUCAGCCCUCACAGAGAGACAUGACCAGAAAGACCAGUUCUCUUCUGAGAAAGAAAAGAUUACCAAACUCAACAAGAAAAAUGCAGAGAAGACCAGUGGCUCAGAAGUGCAGAGGACUUGCGUCAUAUGUCAUGUGGAACGACAAGACAAGAUAGAAUUUGUUCAGAGGAAUUCCACAGAGCUAAGAGAGUAUGCAGGUACAAAAGAUGCGUCAUGCAUGGAAAGUCUGGAGAAACAAGAAAGCAACAGCCUGGGCUAUAAACAAGACACUGAAGACAACAAUGGAGGGGAAAA
rnacentral:lncRNA from 1 species